AUCCAGGGGAAAGAUCUUCCUUGGCCACCAUUGGCAUCUGAUUUGACAAUGGAUAAUGUGCAAAAAGUGGUUCCAUGUGAACUUUUUAAUGUAUUGGCUUGGACUUGUGGAUUCUCUUCAGAGCCAACUUUAAGCUUUGUUAGUGAUGUUCCAACUACUCUUGCAUGGGAUAAUGAUGAUUUCUCAGAAGAAACUAGAUCUGGCAAAGGGACAACUCACAUCACUGGGGGCAUUAUCAUUCAAAGGGAACAAAGUGCAAGUACUGAGUUAUAGAGACGGGAUAGCAUUCCAAGGUCAAGAUCCCUCCCAGCACCAUCAAAGGAGAUAAAUCCUUAUUUUCUUGGAAAAAGAAAAACUGUUAAUUUAAAUGAUGCCAUGCAAAAUAAGGAAAUUGAGGAAGAACAUCAUAUAUUACCUCAGAUUGAUGCUAAGAAGAAAGACCUUGCAUUCUGUCUAUGUAGAUAUGUUGGUAGGAGCAGUGCAAUAGGAAAUAUUUUUGCUUUUCGAGAAGCAAAUUUUGUUUCUGCAUUAAAAGCCAAUGUUUCCAGAUGUGGGAGACAGGGAAACAUUGGAGCAAACAUUGAAAAUCACGAAUAUUUUCGCGACAAUGUUUCUUGCUGCGUUUGGCCAAGGCUAUAUUUAAGCGAAAUAUUUAACUUGUUUCUUGAUUGUGUGAGUUGUAUGUAUAUUUAUAUAUUCUCCGUCCUGUUUGAUACAGGUGGGUUUUUUACCUCACAAAUUUUUAUUGAAUUAAGAUGUUAAUAAGUAGAAUUAUACGUUAAAACGGUAUUUUGAAACAAUAGCCAAUAAAUUGAAGUGAUUUAGCAUAUGAGCAAGCAAAAUGUACAAUGUGUUUUAACAAUA